UGGGGAAUAUUGCACAAUGGAGGGAACUCUGAUGCAGCGACGCUGCGUGAGUGAUGAAGGAAUUCGUUUCGUAAAACUCUGUUCUAUGGGAAGAAAAGGACUGUACCAUAGGAGAAAGCUCCGCCUAAAUACGUGCCAGCAGCCGCGUUCAUACGUAUGGAGCGAGCGUUGUCCGAAAUUAUUGGGCGUAAAGGUUGCGCAGGCGGCUUUACAAGUUGGAUGUGAAAUAUUGUGGCUCAACCACAAACGUGCAUCCAAAACUGCAAAUCUUGAGUUAAGGAGAGGUAAGUGGCAUUCCUGGUGGAGCGGUGGAAUGCGUAGAUAUCAGGAGGAAUACCGGUGGCGAAGGCGACUUACUGGAAGUAAACUGACGAUCAGGCACGAAAGCGUAGGGAGCAAACAUG
rnacentral:rRNA from 1 species